rnacentral:rRNA from 1 species
AGAGUUUGAUCCUGGCUCAGAACGAACGCUGGCGGCAGGCCUAACACAUGCAAGUCGAACGCUCGUAGCAAUACGGGAGUGGCAGACGGGUGAGUAACGCGUGGGAACGUACCCUUUGGUUCGGAACAACUCCGGGAAACUGGAGCUAAUACCGGAUGAGCCCUACGGGGGAAAGAUUUAUCGCCGAAGGAUCGGCCCGCGUCGGAUUAGCUAGUUGGUGAGGUAACGGCUCACCAAGGCGACGAUCCGUAGCUGGUCUGAGAGGAUGAUCAGCCACACUGGGACUGAGACACGGCCCAGACUCCUACGGGAGGCAGCAGUGGGGAAUAUUGGACAAUGGGCGCAAGCCUGAUCCAGCCAUGCCGCAUGAGUGAUGAAGGCCUUAGGGUUGUAAAGCUCUUUCGCCAGGGACGAUAAUGACGGUACCUGAUAAGAG